GUCUACGGCCAUACCACCCUGAACACGCCCAAUCUCGUCUGAUCUCAGAAGCUAAGCAGGCUCAGGUCUGGUUAGUACUUGGAUGGGAGACCACCUGGGAAUACCGAGUGCUGUAGGCU
ensembl:rRNA 5S_rRNA 5S ribosomal RNA